GGAUGGGGUAGAAGGAGGGACAGAGAGAAGGGAUGGGGUAGAGGGAGCGACAGAGAGAAGGGAUGGGGUAGAGAGAGGGACAGAGAUAAGGGAUGGGGAAGAGAGAGGGACAGAGAGAAGGGAUGGGUACUGGGAGGGACAGAGAUAAGGGAUGGGGUAGAGAGAGGGACAGAGAUAAGAUAGGGGACAGAGAGAAGGGAUGGGGUAGAGAGAGGGACAGAGAGAAGGGAUGGGGUAGAGGGAGGGACAGAGAGAAGGGAUGGGGUAGAGAGAGGGACAGAGAUAAGGGAUGGGGUAGAGAGAGGGACAGAGAUAAGGGGCGGGGUAGAGAGGGACAGAGAGAAGGGAUGG
ensembl:lncRNA